rnacentral:rRNA from 1 species
GAUGAACGCUAGCUACAGGCUUAACACAUGCAAGUCGAGGGACCGGCGCACGGGUGAGUAACACGUAUCCAACCUGCCCUUUACUCGGGGAUAGCCUUUCGAAAGAAAGAUUAAUACCCGAUAUAAAGGAUGGGGAUGCGUUCCAUUAGGUUGUUGGUGAGGUAACGGCUCACCAAGCCUUCGAUGGAUAGGGGUUCUGAGAGGAAGGUCCCGCGCAUGGGAAAUGAGACACGGGCCAAACUGAGACGGUAGGCAGCAGUGAGGAAUAUUGGUUAAUGGGCGCUAGGCUGAACCAGCCGAGUAGCGUGAAGGAUGAAGGGUUAUGGGUCGUAAACUUCUUUUAUAUAGGAAUAUGUAUUAUAUGAAUAAGGAUCGGCUAACUCCGUGCCAGCAGCCGCGGUAUUC